GAUGAACGCUGGCGGCGUGCCUAAUACAUGCAAGUCGAGCGAACAGACGAGGAGCUUGCUCCUCUGACGUUAGCGGCGGACGGGUGAGUAACACGUGGAUAACCUACCUAUAAGACUGGGAUAACUUCGGGAAACCGGAGCUAAUACCGGAUAAUAUAUUGAACCGCAUGGUUCAAUAGUGAAAGACGGUUCUGCUGUCACUUAUAGAUGGAUCCGCGCCGCAUUAGCUAGUUGGUAAGGUAACGGCUUACCAAGGCAACGAUGCGUAGCCGACCUGAGAGGGUGAUCGGCCACACUGGAACUGAGACACGGUCCAGACUCCUACGGGAGGCAGCAGUAGGGAAUCUUCCGCAAUGGGCGAAAGCUUGACGGAGCAACGCCGCGUGAGUGAUGAAGGUCUUCGGAUCGUAAAACUCUGUUAUUAGGGAAGAACAAAUGUGUAAGUAACUAUGCACGUCUUGACGGUACCUAAUCAGAAAGCCACGGCUGACUACGUG
rnacentral:rRNA from 1 species